GGGUUGUGAGGUUAAGCGACUAAGCGUACACGGUGGAUGCCCUGGCAGUCAGAGGCGAUGAAGGACGUGCUAAUCUGCGAUAAGCGUCGGUGAGGUGAUAUGAACCGUUAUAACCGGCGAUUUCCGAAUGGGGAAACCCAGUGUGUUUCGACACACUAUCAUUAACUGAAUCCAUAGGUUAAUGAGGCGAACCGGGGGAACUGAAACAUCUAAGUACCCCGAGGAAAAGAAAUCAACCGAGAUUCCCCCAGUAGCGGCGAGCGAACGGGGAGCAGCCCAGAGCCUGAAUCAGUGUGUGUGUUAGUGGAAGCGUCUGGAAAGGCGUGCGAUACAGGGUGACAGCCCCGUACACAAAAAUGCACAUACUGUGAGCUCGAUGAGUAGGGCGGGACACGUGGUAUCCUGUCUGAAUAUGGGGGGACCAUCCUCCAAGGCUAAAUACUCCUGACUGACCGAUAGUGAACCAGUACCGUGAGGGAAAGGCGAAAAGAACCCCGGCGAGGGGAGUGAAAAAGAACCUGAAACCGUGUACGUACAAGCAGUGGGAGCCUCUUAAUGGGGUGACUGCGUACCUUUUGUAUAAUGGGUCAGCGACUUAUAUUCUGUAGCAAGGUUAACCGAAUAGGGGAGCCGAAGGGAAACCGAGUCUUAACUGGGCGUUAAGUUGCAGGGUAUAGACCCGAAACCCGGUGAUCUAGCCAUGGGCAGGUUGAAGGUUGGGUAACACUAACUGGAGGACCGAACCGACUAAUGUUGAAAAAUUAGCGGAUGACUUGUGGCUGGGGGUGAAAGGCCAAUCAAACCGGGAGAUAGCUGGUUCUCCCCGAAAGCUAUUUAGGUAGCGCCUCGUGAAUUCAUCUCCGGGGGUAGAGCACUGUUUCGGCAAGGGGGUCAUCCCGACUUACCAACCCGAUGCAAACUGCGAAUACCGGAGAAUGUUAUCACGGGAGACACACGGCGGGUGCUAACGUCCGUCGUGAAGAGGGAAACAACCCAGACCGCCAGCUAAGGUCCCAAAGUCAUGGUUAAGUGGGAAACGAUGUGGGAAGGCCCAGACAGCCAGGAUGUUGGCUUAGAAGCAGCCAUCAUUUAAAGAAAGCGUAAUAGCUCACUGGUCGAGUCGGCCUGCGCGGAAGAUGUAACGGGGCUAAACCAUGCACCGAAGCUGCGGCAGCGACACUAUGUGUUGUUGGGUAGGGGAGCGUUCUGUAAGCCUGCGAAGGUGUACUGUGAGGUAUGCUGGAGGUAUCAGAAGUGCGAAUGCUGACAUAAGUAACGAUAAAGCGGGUGAAAAGCCCGCUCGCCGGAAGACCAAGGGUUCCUGUCCAACGUUAAUCGGGGCAGGGUGAGUCGACCCCUAAGGCGAGGCCGAAAGGCGUAGUCGAUGGGAAACAGGUUAAUAUUCCUGUACUUGGUGUUACUGCGAAGGGGGGACGGAGAAGGCUAUGUUGGCCGGGCGACGGUUGUCCCGGUUUAAGCGUGUAGGCUGGUUUUCCAGGCAAAUCCGGAAAAUCAAGGCUGAGGCGUGAUGACGAGGCACUACGGUGCUGAAGCAACAAAUGCCCUGCUUCCAGGAAAAGCCUCUAAGCAUCAGGUAACAUCAAAUCGUACCCCAAACCGACACAGGUGGUCAGGUAGAGAAUACCAAGGCGCUUGAGAGAACUCGGGUGAAGGAACUAGGCAAAAUGGUGCCGUAACUUCGGGAGAAGGCACGCUGAUAUGUAGGUGAAGUCCCUCGCGGAUGGAGCUGAAAUCAGUCGAAGAUACCAGCUGGCUGCAACUGUUUAUUAAAAACACAGCACUGUGCAAACACGAAAGUGGACGUAUACGGUGUGACGCCUGCCCGGUGCCGGAAGGUUAAUUGAUGGGGUUAGCGGUAACGCGAAGCUCUUGAUCGAAGCCCCGGUAAACGGCGGCCGUAACUAUAACGGUCCUAAGGUAGCGAAAUUCCUUGUCGGGUAAGUUCCGACCUGCACGAAUGGCGUAAUGAUGGCCAGGCUGUCUCCACCCGAGACUCAGUGAAAUUGAACUCGCUGUGAAGAUGCAGUGUACCCGCGGCAAGACGGAAAGACCCCGUGAACCUUUACUAUAGCUUGACACUGAACAUUGAGCCUUGAUGUGUAGGAUAGGUGGGAGGCUUUGAAGUGUGGACGCCAGUCUGCAUGGAGCCGGCCUUGAAAUACCACCCUUUAAUGUUUGAUGUUCUAACGUUGGCCCCUGAUCGGGGUUGCGGACAGUGUCUGGUGGGUAGUUUGACUGGGGCGGUCUCCUCCUAAAGAGUAACGGAGGAGCACGAAGGUUGGCUAAUCCUGGUCGGACAUCAGGAGGUUAGUGCAAUGGCAUAAGCCAGCUUGACUGCGAGCGUGACGGCGCGAGCAGGUGCGAAAGCAGGUCAUAGUGAUCCGGUGGUUCUGAAUGGAAGGGCCAUCGCUCAACGGAUAAAAGGUACUCCGGGGAUAACAGGCUGAUACCGCCCAAGAGUUCAUAUCGACGGCGGUGUUUGGCACCUCGAUGUCGGCUCAUCACAUCCUGGGGCUGAAGUAGGUCCCAAGGGUAUGGCUGUUCGCCAUUUAAAGUGGUACGCGAGCUGGGUUUAGAACGUCGUGAGACAGUUCGGUCCCUAUCUGCCGUGGGCGCUGGAGAACUGAGGGGGCUGCUCCUAGUACGAGAGGACCGGAGUGGACGCAUCACUGGUGUUCGGGUUGUCAUGCCAAUGGCACUGCCCGGUAGCUAAAUGCGGAAGAGAUAAGUGCUGAAAGCAUCUAAGCACGAAACUUGCCCCGAGAUGAGUUCUCCCUGACUCUUUAAGGGUCCUGAAGGAACGUUGAAGACGACGACGUUGAUAGGCCGGGUGUGUAAGCGCAGCGAUGCGUUGAGCUAACCGGUACUAAUGAACCGUGAGGCUUAACCUUACAACGCCGAAG
rnacentral:rRNA from 1 species